AUUCUGCCGUCAGACAAUUAGCUAGAUGGCCGCAGUAUCGUCCGUGUUUGAUGAAAUCGAGCCCACUGAUAUCGCAAAAUCAUCUGAUGUUGAAGAAACGUCGUUGACUGCUUAUAGGAUUUCGGAGGACGAUCUCAUCUCAGUCUUAUGGAGUUGCUGGAAGGUGUUGAUCAUCAAUUCAAAAAACUUUGGUGGCUUCUUAAGAGAUCUAUGAUGGAUUGUUUGAAAAUUUACACUCCUUAUCCCCCAUGAACUUGUUCACAACGCGAAGAUUCUUGCCAAAUAUAUAUAAACCAAGAAUAAAACUAUCAUGUUCAAUCGCGCUCCAACAUUCUUCACUUGAUGAACAAGGAACUGAAACCAAUCCAUUGUUUGUUUCACAACCUACAUUACAAAACUCACCCUUUCUCCCCAUUUCCCACCAAACCCUUCACCUUUCUCACGGAUUCUCCCCCAAAUCGGUUCAUUUUCAUCAAUUUCAUCAAAUUCUCCUCUAAAUCGAUAAAUCCGCCCACCCACCAUGUAGGUC